AAAAAAAAAAGUUUAGUUUGAUGACAACCAUCUUUGGCAUAAUCUUGGGAGCCAAAUUGGGUCUGAACCUCUACAAAUGGUAAGCUGAACAUAAGAGCAAGUAAUUACUGAAUGUCCUGUGGAACAGCACAGAGGCUUGAAUAUACAUGCUCUGGAAAGUGGUAAAUGGGCAUUUAUCAAUGCAUUUGAUUGCAACCACUGCCUGAUGAUGGAGAUCCUUUAGCAAGAGUCCCAAGAACUAAAUAUCCUGAGUCAAGAUGCCAGCCCCUCCUGCACCCCAUGCUCCAGAUGCUGGUCUGCUGAACGAUGGCUGUAUCUGCCCUGAGGACAUUGCGAGCCUCACUCCCAGUAUGUUUGGAAGUAGCUAAACCUGUGCUGGUAUGAAGAGGCUGGCCAGCAAGUCCUACGAAUGACACAGAUGUCAGCAGCACCCAGCUGGCUUGACCCAGCUCAUCCAUACUUUCCAGGUAUGCCUUCAGAGGUAAAUAGAGACACCUGCCUGUCUGGGAGGUGUUAAAUGGUGCUAGAGAGAGGCUUGAAAUUGGCCUUACUGAGGAGAAUGGCUUUGGAAUGGUGACCUGGUUGGGCACCUCUGUAUGUCAGGAUACCUGCUGGAUAGAAAGGUUUGUCUUCAGAGUGGAAUGGCAACAUGGACAGGACUGCUGCUAAAGGCUGUACUGGAGGUCCAGGACAUGAUGUGUGCUACCUGCUUAUUGAAACAUGAGGUAUGUGAGGUGGGGGCCAGCCUACUGAAAUGCUGCUUAGAGUUUCUGUGAGCUUGGACCCUGUGAUCCAGAAAAACAAAAUCUAAAUUUUGAUGGCUUUUAUAGCUUGGAGAGAUGUAACCUGUAGUCUUUCUAUGUGGAGCUGCUUGCAAUCCUAUUCUGGUAAAGUUGGUUUCUAAUAACGGAGUAAUUUUAAAGCUGUUAUAGUAAAUAUUAGCAGUGAACAUCUUCCAGGUGACACUUAUGUAAUGAUUGCACUUUAAAAAUAAUGUGUGGAUUAGAAAGAACAUAUUAGUUCAAAUACUUUGCAGUCAUCUGAGACUCAGAUCAUGAUACUUUUGAAAUAACAAGGGCUGUCUGUGACGUUAUGGCAAACCUUUCCGUCCCUGAUCCUUGUUUCAUAGCUUAGCUAUAUCUUGUCAUGAUUGUAGCCUAUGCUAAGAAGCUAAUCAAUAGCCAGGGGAAACAGACUGAAAGGUUUCUGGAACAGCCUGUGAUGCUACUAAUCUCCUAGAAUAAGGACCCAAUUUUGAAGAUGUAUACUGCUGAAAUAACUAUUUGCUCCAGUAAGUUACUCUGCAUUUCCAUCAUUUGAAUGAUUCCCCUUAUAUUCACGGGUGCUUCACCAGCCAACACUACUGUGCUUUAUAAAUAAGAGCGCAUAACAGAGAGUGAUUUUAUACUCAUGCUCUCUUAUGAGGACUUUAUUUUCUAUUAAGUUCGAAGCAGUUCUGGAUAGGUAAAAAGCUUUGUGCUUCAGAUUCAUUUUUUUCUUUUAUUUAUGCCACUGAAAUUUCUCAUCUGUAUCAAGUCACUGUCCCUCUCCAAUUCUUCCCAGCCAUCUCCUCUAGCUGCUCCUUUGUACUUCAGUCAAUGGGAGCUUCAUCAGGUCAAGCACGUUAGGAAUUAACCUAAGACCAAGUAUGCUAUGAAAAUUCCCAUUAUUUCCUGAGAGAAGCAUCCAUCAGAAAAAAAGAAAAAGAAAAAGGCAAGAGAAAGGAAUCAAGUGUACACUGGGUAAAACAGGGAAAUAGACAGGUGUGAGAGUGUGAGGGGAAGAUCUGUUAAACUUACAUUUCACUUAGUGGAAAGAGAAUGCUGCCAAGACAAGCUGUAUCUGAAAUCAGCAUACAGUGCUUCGGGAUUGUGAUUGUCAGUCUGCUAUUUCCCAUUUUGUUUAAUUUUUAAUCCAAAUUGUGUUCUAAAAAUAGGGAGCAUUUUGGAGCUGAAAAGAUGAGAGUAGCAGAAGAGGGGGGAAAAACAGAACAUGCAGGAGGAAAACUGCUGUAGCUGAAACAUUCCUGUUGGGAUUUCUAGCUCUGUAUCUCGGAUGUGGUUACAGAACACAGACUUACCUUAUCUGUGCCAUUGCGGGAGCCCCUCUGUAAAAUAAAUGAUAACUCAUAGCCUGUGAACAGAGAGGGAUGGUUACUUUCCUAUUUGGAUAAGAGUAACUGGAAUAUGUUAUGGAAUACAGGCAAGAAUUCACCUGUCCUGUUCCUACCUAAGUAAUGUUUCUAUAGCUACUGCCGUUCCUUUUUUUUGCUUUUCAUGUGCCUGAAGAGAUUUGUACCGCUAAUUAUUAAUAGCGGGAAGUUUUUACUUCUGGGGAAGUUUUUACAGAAGAGCUGGAGUCUCCUGUUUUCAGUUAGCAUUGCUUCAGCACGGCUAGUUUGUCCAGGAUGGGAAAGCCAAGAGAUGUUUAUCUGGAUAAGAUUGUGAAAUCUUUGUUUAUGCAUUAGUCUCCUCUCCAGAGAAGACUGGAAUAUCUCGCCUGAAGUCCCAAUUCAGCAUCUUUUCUGAAGAGGCCCCUUAAAAGCUAGAGCAACCUCCUCUAGGCUAAACAAGAAAAUCAGUUGGAGGGGGGAAAAAGAAAAAGCAGAAAAAAAACUUAUAUCAUCUUUGAACAGAUGUGCCUCCAAAGUCCUCCAGCAUGAGUGUAUGCAUGUGGUGCAAGAAGUACUGAUUUCAGCAGCCUUUGGAGGUUCUGCUGCCUCCUCUGACUUCUGUGCAUUAUGUUGAAACUGUUACCUUUGGCUUUCCCCAGAGCAGCAAAUUCUGGAUGACAACAAUGCAAAACAGGAAACUUUCAGAUAUUCAGAUUUGGUUUGGAUCCAGGAUGCACAAAACUUUGUGAUCUGCAUCAUAAUCUCAAAUUCCUGCCUCAUUUUUGUGGACCUUUACUUAAAGGAGUGUGGGAACUGUUAAGUCAGAGCCUGAACCACUAAUUGCACACCUGGGGAAAGGACCUGGUCAGCCCUGGGAGCACAGGUGAAGGCAGUUCAGCUCUGUGAUCAGGGCCUGGCUGCACCUCUCUUAGACCUCAUUUAAGGGCUGACAGCCACUGGAAAAGGAUCUCUCCCUGGAGAUCCCUCCUUGGUGAGGCUUUCUCCUGUGAACCUCUAAUCCUCUGAUAUGGGUGAGCAAUCAUCUUACCUUACAUUAUAGGACCUCUCUCUUGUGCCAGUCCUUCAGUCAUUGUACCUUUGUUGUAAUGCCUUUCCCAUUGUGUUGAUCUGUCCAAUUGCUACAAAAGGCUAAAAUGCAUUUAUCUAUAUCGCUUUAAAUUUUUUAUUUUUUUGAAAAUUCCUAAGCCCCCCUCUUUUCCAGAGGAUGGGAGAUGUGAAGUUUACCUAAGUUUCUCCAACUGUGCCCAGCUAGAAGAAUCAUAAUACCUUGACAAGCCAGCUUCUUCCUUAAAAAAUGCUGGCUCACUUAACUAGAUCACAAGGUAUUUUAAAAUCACAUUCCAUGGUUUUUUUUUUUUUUCUGCCACUUUUAAGUCUAAUAAUCAAUUUUUGUUGAGAGUAACCAGGGAAAACGAAAGGGAUUUAAGUGCUUAAGUCACUGGACUGCAGCUUUCUGAUUUAUGAUGACAGUAAUAGAAAUUGGCUACCAAGAGGCUCCCAGAUACACCACCUGAUGUCUGCUUUCAGAUCCUGUUUAACUUUUUAAAAAUCUAGCCCCAUAAAUGUUAGACCUGAGUGGAGUACUUGAAAGCCCUCUGUUGCACUGUCAGUUCAGGAAUUGGCUUUCUUCUCCCAGAGCGCUUAGAGAAGCG